AGCGAACGCUGGCGGCAGGCUUAACACAUGCAAGUCGAGCGGGCACUUUCGGGUGUCAGCGGCGGACGGGUGAGUAACGCGUGGGAACGUGCCCUCUGGUUCGGAAUAACUCAGGGAAACUUGAGCUAAUACCGGAUACGCCCUUUUGGGGAAAGGCUUGCUGCCGGAGGAUCGGCCCGCGUCUGAUUAGCUAGUUGGUGAGGUAACGGCUCGCCAAGGCGACGAUCAGUAGCUGGUCUGAGAGGAUGAUCAGCCACACUGGGACUGAGACACGGCCCAGACUCCUACGGGAGGCAGCAGUGGGGAAUAUUGGACAAUGGGCGCAAGCCUGAUCCAGCCAUGCCGCGUGAGUGAUGAAGGCCUUAGGGUUGUAAAGCUCUUUUAUCCGGGACGAUAAUGACGGUACCGGAGGAAUAAGCCCCGGCUAACUUCGUG
rnacentral:rRNA from 1 species